GGAUUCCCCUAGUAACUGCGAGUGAAGAGGGAAAAGCUCAAAUUUAAAAUCUGGCAGUCUUUGAUUGUCCGAGUUGUAAUUUAGAGAAGUGUUACCCGUGUUGGACCGUGUACAAGUUUCCUGGAAUGGAACGUCAUAGAGGGUGAGAAUCCCGUCUUUGACACGGAUCCCAAUGCAUUGUGGUAUACUUUCGAAGAGUCGAGUUGUUUGGGAAUGCAGCUCUAAAUGGGUGGUAAAUUCCAUCUAAAGCUAAAUAUUGGGGAGAGACCGAUAGCGAACAAGUACCGUGAGGGAAAGAUGAAAAGAACUUUGGAAAGAGAGUUAAACAGUACGUGAAAUUGCUAAAAGGGAAACGCUUGAAGUCAGUCGCGUUGUCCGGGGAUCAGCCUUCCUUUUGGUUGGUGUACUUCCUGGUUGACGGGUCAGCAUCAGUUUUAAUCGGUGGAUAAAAGUGAGAGGAAUGUGGCAUCUUCGGGUGUGUUAUAGCCUUUUAUUGUAUACAUCGGUUGGGACUGAGGAACUCAGCACGCCGCAAGGCCGGGUUUUUAACCACGUUCGUGCUUAGGAUGCUGGCAUAAUGGCUUUAAUCGACCCGUCUUGA
rnacentral:rRNA from 1 species